rnacentral:rRNA from 1 species
AAGCGUUAAUCGGAAUUACUGGGCGUAAAGCGUGCSCMGGCGGUGAUGUAAGACAGUUGUGAAAUCCCCGGGCUCAACCUGGGAACUGCAUUUAAAACUGUCCAGCUAGAGUCUUGUAGAGGGGGGUAGAAUUCCAGGUGUAGCGGUGAAAUGCGUAGAGAUCUGGAGGAAUACCGGUGGCGAAGGCGGCCCCCUGGACAAAGACUGACGCUCAGGUGCGAAAGCGUGGGGAGCAAACAGGAUUAGAUACCCUGGUAGUCCACGCCGUAAACGAUGUCGAUUUGGAGGCUGUGUCCUUGAGACGUGGCUUCCGGAGCUAACGCGUUAAAUCGACCGCCUGGGGAGUACGGCCGCAAGGUUA